rnacentral:rRNA from 3 species
AUGGUGAAACCGCGAAUGGCUCAUUAAAUCAGCUAUUGUUCCUUAGAUCUUACGCUGUUACAUGGAUAACUGUGGUAAUUCUAGAGCUAAUACAUGCCAUUAUAUCUCUAUCGAAAGAAGGGAUGGAUUUAUUAGAACAAAACCAACCAGCACUUUGUGUUGCUAGUUUGGUGGCUCUGGAUAACUUUCCUGAUCGCAUAGCCUUGUGCUAGCGACGUAUCUUUCAAAUGUCUGCCCUAUCAACUAUCGAUGGUAGGAUAGAGGCCUACCAUGGUAAUGACGGGUAACGGGGAAUCAGGGUUCGAUUCCGGAGAGGGAGCCUUAGAAAUGGCUACCACAUCUAAGGAAGGCAGCAGGCGCGCAAAUUACCCACUCUCAGUUAGAGGAGGUAGUGACGAAAAAUAACGAUGCAGGACUCGUUUGAGGCUCUGCAAUUGGAAUGAGUACAAUUUAAAUCCUUUAACGAGGAUCAAUUGGAGGGCAAGUCUGGUGCCAGCAGCCGCGGUAACUCCAGCUCCAAUAGCGUAUAU